AAGUCGAACGAAGCGCCUUGCCGGAACCCCUUCGGGGAGGAAGGCAUUGCGACUGACCUGGCGGACGGGUGAGUAACGCGUGGGCAACCUGCCCCAUACAGGGGGAUAACAGUUAGAAAUGACUGCUAACACCGCAUAAGCGCACAGGGCCGCAUGGCCCGGUGUGAAAAACUCCGGUGGUAUGGGAUGGGCCCGCGUCUGAUUAGCCAGUUGGCGGGGUAACGGCCCACCAAAGCGACGAUCAGUAGCCGACCUGAGAGGGUGACCGGCCACAUUGGGACUGAGACACGGCCCAAACUCCUACGGGAGGCAGCAGUGGGGAAUAUUGCACAAUGGGGGGAACCCUGAUGCAGCGACGCCGCGUGAGCGAAGAAGUAUCUCGGUAUGUAAAGCUCUAUCAGCAGGGAAGAAAAAUGACGGUACCUGACUAAGAAGCCCCGGCUAACUACGUGCCAGCAGCCGCGGUAAUACGUAGGGGGCAAGCGUUAUCCGGAUUUACUGGGUGUAAAGGGAGCGCAGGCGGCGCGGCAAGUCUGAUGUGAAAGCCCGGGGCUCAACCCCGGGACUGCAUUGGAAACUGUCGCGCUCGAGUGUCGGAGAGGUAAGUGGAAUUCCUAGUGUAGCGGUGAAAUGCGUAGAUAUUAGGAGGAACACCAGUGGCGAAGGCGGCUUACUGGACGACAACUGACGCU
rnacentral:rRNA from 1 species